rnacentral:tRNA from 1 species
GGGCGUUAGCUCAGUUGGUAGAGCAGCGGACUCUUAAUCCGUAGGUCGAGUGUUCGAGUCACUCACGCCCCACCAA